rnacentral:misc_RNA from 2 species
AAGUCGUAACAAGGUCUCCGUUGGUGAACCAGCGGAGGGAUCAUUAUAGAGUUUUCUAAACUCCCAACCCAUGUGAACUUACCUUUUGUUGCCUCGGCAGAAGUUAUAGGUCUUCUUAUAGCUGCUGCCGGUGGACCAUUAAACUCUUGUUAUUUUAUGUAAUCUGAGCGUCUUAUUUUAAUAAGUCAAAACUUUCAACAACGGAUCUCUUGGUUCUG